rnacentral:misc_RNA from 1 species
UGGCACUGUAGUUUAUCGUGGACGCCAUGAUGACCCGGAUUCUCCUCGAACGCCAAAAUCUAGGUUAGGAAUUCAAGAGAGAUCUUCAAGUGCAUCACUUGAAGACAGCUCAGCAAAUCUUGCAGAGGCCAAGGCAGCCAUGCUAGCAGGACUGAAGAAGGAAAAUGUUAGAGACAGAUCAAAAUUGGGCAAGGUGCAACGUGAUGGGCUAGAAAAUAAAACAGAACAACCGACAAUGAGCUCUGAUUCUUCUAGGCACUCGCGUGAUUAUCUUGAUGCACAGAAGGUGUUUUCGAGAUCACGCCAUACAAGUGAUGAAGAAGAUGGUGCGAGAACAUAUCCUAUACCUUCAUCUGCCACCUUAUCUGUUCUCCUUAUUCCUUCAUUAAAAGAGGCUGCUACCAGUGAAACAGAUGGUUCACUCAUGCAGGCGAUGGUCAGUUCCUUUAUGGAUAUGGAGCGUAUGAAGGCUGGUUCUUGCGAUCUGUUCAUGACUAGGUUGCUUCAGCGACUAGCAAGUGCAAAGGAUCCGUCUUUGAAAGAUCUGCAAGACCUGGCUGGUCGCAUCUUUUCAAAGGGAAAGAUUGAAACAGAGAGUACAACUACCGAGUCUGAUAGCAAAAAAAAGCAGCAGAGUAAAGAGCUUAAUUCAAAUGCCAAUUUGAGUCCACUGGCAAGGUUCUUGCUUUCAAGAUGGCAAGGGCAUGCUUCUCGAGAUCAAAAUUCCUAAACAUUGAGCUUGGCCGAAUUUGGGGCACACACUUGGGAUGAGAACGACUCACAACCCACAUGUAUCAUUUGAUGAUGAAAUUGCUCGGGGCAAACUCCAAACUCCAAAGCACCCACCAGCUGACGAUAGUAAUUAUUUUUCUAAUGAAGUGGUGAAAUUAGCUUGCGGUAAAAAUUAGCCAUACCCUCAUUUCUGAUAAAGAUAUUGUCAAUGUGGAUAGGGUAGCGUGUAAAAGGAUUGAUGUAUGUGUAUGAUUAUAGAAAUAUUUUUCGCUAAGUGUAAAAAGGUUACAAAGUUA